rnacentral:lncRNA from 10 species
GCAACAUUGCCUGUUGUCCUGCAGGCAGUAGUCCCGCAGCAAGCCAGCAUGCUUUCCUGGGGACAUGAUACCUGAGCUGGGCGUUUAAGGAUGCACUGGAGUUGUCCAGGUGGUGAAUAAGAGAAUGCACUCCAGGCAGAAGGAAGAGCAGGUGCAAAGGCUUAGAGACACGAAAGAGGGUGUUGUAUUUAAGGAAUGCCGGAAAGCAAUGAAGGUUCUAGAGGCACCUGCAUUCCUUGGCUUGUGGCCUCUUCCUCCAUCUCAAAGUGCAUCGCUCCAAUUUCUGCUUCUGUCAUCACAUCGCCUUUUCCUCCAGCUCCGACUCCUCCUGCAUCCAUCUGAAAAGGAUAAUCCAGGAUAUUCUCCCUAUCUCAAGAUCCUUCAUCACAUCUGCAAAGUCUCAGGUAUGGGUGGGGCUGAGGAUAUAAUCAGUUCUGGGCAAAAUUCCUCUGGAUGUGCAGAUUUGUGAAACUAGAAAACAAGCUUUCUGCUCCCAAAAUACAGUGGUGGGACAGCAUAAGACAACAGUUAUAGACAUUUCCAUUCAAAUAGGGAGAAAAUGGAAGGAAAAAAGGAGUCACCAGUCCCAAGC